rnacentral:misc_RNA from 1 species
UGUAGGAGCUGCCGCAGGCUGCGAUCUUUUGAUUGUGAAUUCCAAGAUCAAAAGAUCGCAGCCUGCGGCAGCUCCUACA